ACCUACGGGAGGCAGCAGUAGGGAAUCUUCCACAAUGGGCGAAAGCCUGAUGGAGCAACGCCGCGUGGGUGAAGAAGGUCUUCGGAUCGUAAAACCCUGUUGUUAGAGAAGAAAGUGCGUGAGAGUAACUGUUCACGUUUCGACGGUAUCUAACCAGAAAGCCACGGCUAACUACGUGCCAGCAGCCGCGGUAAUACGUAGGUGGCAAGCGUUAUCCGGAUUUAUUGGGCGUAAAGGGAACGCAGGCGGUCUUUUAAGUCUGAUGUGAAAGCCUUCGGCUUAACCGGAGAAUUGCAUCAGAAACU
rnacentral:rRNA from 1 species